CAUAAACUGUUCUGAUAAUAUUCCAUGUUUGCAGGUGGUUUAAUCAUCAGUAUUUUUGGAAGAAUGUUAGAGAAUAGAUGGAUUGGGGUCCCGCCCUCCACAGCUCACCUAGAUCCACAACUCUAGCUGCCUCUAUGCAAUCAGCAGUGGGGACCUGACCCACUUGUAAAGAACCAGUAGCCAUGCCCCUUCUUUGAGAAGAGCAAUUGAAUGAGAAGAAUGCCACCAAGCUAAUGAAAAUGGCUAGCAUGAUUUUUUGAAAAUGUAGCAGUCUCUGUAACUAAAGAACACAUGCCUGAAAUGCUGAAACGAUGUGGAGAUGGACACCGAAGAAGCUGAAUUCAUUGCUUAAGAAUGAUGCCAGAUUGCUGGCAAUGCUGAAGACUAAAGUGUAUCCAGCGGUAUAACACAAGCAGAGCCAUAUAAAAUAUUCUCCAUUCCCCACUGAAUCCUGUGAGGAACCAUUGGAAAGAUCUGGCAGGACACCUUCUAAAGAUGAGAGGGGUCAAAACCGGUCCUUCUGGUGUACCCACAGCUCCCCUAGACUUCAAUUCAAGCUUUGGAGACACAGAAAUACAAGACUGAGUACUAGAUGAUAUCAUGAUUCUUUGUAAUAUGGUAUCAAUAAAUUUCUGCUCUGUAUAUAUUCA